GAUGAACGCUGGCGGCGUGCCUAAUACAUGCAAGUAGAACGCUGAAGGAAGGGGCUUGCUCUUUCCGGAUGAGUUGCGAACGGGUGAGUAACGCGUAGGUAACCUGCCUGGUAGCGGGGGAUAACUAUUGGAAACGAUAGCUAAUACCGCAUAACAGUAGAUGUUGCAUGACAACUAUUUGAAAGGGGCAAUUGCUCCACUACCAGAUGGACCUGCGUUGUAUUAGCUAGUUGGUGAGGUAACGGCUCACCAAGGCGACGAUACAUAGCCGACCUGAGAGGGUGAUCGGCCACACUGGGACUGAGACACGGCCCAGACUCCUACGGGAGGCAGCAGUAGGGAAUCUUCGGCAAUGGACGGAAGUCUGACCGAGCAACGCCGCGUGAGUGAAGAAGGUUUUCGGAUCGUAAAGCUCUGUUGUAAGAGAAGAACGAGUGUGAGAGUGGAAAGUUCACACUGUGACGGUAUCUUACCAGAAAGGGACGGCUAACUACGUG
rnacentral:rRNA from 1 species